rnacentral:rRNA from 1 species
GACGAACGCUGGCGGCGUGCUUAACACAUGCAAGUCGAACGGAAAGGCCCUGCUUUUGUGGGGUGCUCGAGUGGCGAACGGGUGAGUAACACGUGAGUAACCUGCCCUUGACUUUGGGAUAACUUCAGGAAACUGGGGCUAAUACCGGAUAGGAGCUCCUGCUGCAUGGUGGGGGUUGGAAAGUUUCGGCGGUGGGGGAUGGACUCGCGGCUUAUCAGCUUGUUGGUGGGGUAGUGGCUUACCAAGGCUUUGACGGGUAGCCGGCCUGAGAGGGUGACCGGCCACAUUGGGACUGAGAUACGGCCCAGACUCCUACGGGAGGUAGCAGUGGGGAAUAUUGCACAAUGGGCGGAAGCCUGAUGCAGCAACGCCGCGUGCGGGAUGACGGCCUUCGGGUUGUAAACCGCUUUCGCCUGUGACGAAGCGUGAGUGACGGUAAUGGGUAAAGAAGCACCGGCUAACUACGUG